UCGUCCCGCUGACCAUCAUUGACAUCGUUACCGGUAUUAUUUAUGAAGCAGUGGUGCGCACUCUCAGAAGGCAUCUGCAAGGGGUGUAUUGCAUUAAGCUGAUACAUUACAGUAUGAUGAAAUCACUCAUAUCAUCUGAUAAACCUGCAGGCUGGAAUUUCCACAAACUAUGGAUUUGGGACCUAGUGACAAUUUUGGGAGCCGCUUAGCACCCAGAACUCAGCACCCAGCUGGCUGCAGGAGAAACUGGGGCUACUUCACUAAAGAAGCUUCUAGACUGUCUCAGGUCAGAGCCUCCCUGCAUCCUCCAUGUCUUGUGUCUUCAGCCUUAGGUGCUGCUGUCAGCUCCCUCCUGCUUCAUAGAAGACUUGCAUUCAGGCAGAUAAAACAUUUACUUUUGAUUGUCCUUGAACAAUUUCAUGAGGGCUGGUAAUGUCGUGGUUGUAACUGCUCAGCCUUAGCCUGAUGUUUUAGAUAUUUUCAACUAGAGCAACAACUUGUUUCAGAGGAUAACUCGAGUGUUAGAGUCGGACUCAUUUAAUUACUGUAGAAGAUCAGUGCCCAGUUUCCAUUCUCCAAAGGAAGGCUUUUUGCCCUUUUUGCACCAUGUCAACAAACCAUGAACCUGUCAAAUUCCACUGCUUCACUGCAAUUACUACGUGGGCAUGAAAAAUGAUCCAGAGAGUCAAAGGCAGAGACGUGGCUCCAUAAAUGCAUUUGUCAAACUGACCUCAAGCUGGCAGCCAGCAUCAGUGCCAAAAAAUAUUUAGCAGGUGUAAGCAUGCCAGCCACUUGUGGUAUGCCGUAUGUUUCUUUAACAAGUAGAUGGCUCUAUGUGCUGGUUUAAUAUCUGUGGACAAUUCCCAUGUGCUUCUAUUUAUUUACCAUGGUGCUUUGAAUGAUGCUAUGCAGAGCUGCAUCUGACAGCCAGGCACCUCGCAACCCCUUUUCCUCUUCCGUUUUUCACUUGUGCCCCCCCUUCUGUGCUUGUACUUUUCUCUUUUAUCCUGGAGAUUGAAGUCCACUCAGACUUCAUGGAGAUGAACAUUUGACUUGAAGAGGACUGAGUUCAUGCUGAAAGGCAGACUACAAAUAACGAACAAACAGGCACACCAGGCAAACCUGGUGGAGCCAGGUCAGGGAGCAGAAAGGCAGUGAAGAGUUAGGAUGAGGGAUACAUGGCGGAUAAGCGAUUGCAGCAAGACAUUUUCUAUUGUUUAGAAAAACCAUUCAUGAUCAUGAGGGGGAAGCUUGAUUAAUGGCCAGGAGAAAAAAAAAUAAAAAUUAAAUUAAUACUAAUUAAAAAGAAAAAAAAAACAAACACAUGCAAAGCUUGCUUACCAGUAUUCUUUACAUGUCAGCAUCUUUAUGCAAGUUGUUUUUUCACUGUUUUUUCAGCUGGGAAGGUGAAGGACAGAGGGGUAUUAAAGCAAAAGACAGAUGGGGUAGGAAGAGGGGUGUGGAGCCUGCAGAAGAUUGGCUUUGAGUAUAUUCAAACCUCUGAAGGCUUCACACACAUCAUGAGUUGCAUGUAAAACGUCUUUUUUUUUUUUUUUUUUUUUUUUUUUUUUUCUUUUCUGGUGGGUGGGCAGGGGUAUUUAACACCAUUAACUUGCUUGUCUUCAUUCAGACCUAAAGGAUUUCUGGUAAACUCAGACCCGGUUUGCUGCUAUUGUGAAGGAAAAAAAGGGCAGGAGAUGCAGGAAGCCUGUGGCAGAGAGCCAGUCAUGGAGCCAAAGCAAACGAAGAAGCACAAAAAGCCAUAAAACAGAACACGAUUAGACAACAGCAACUCCAACUCAUCUUAGAUGUCCACAGGAUGCUUCCUAGUAGUUUAAUGCUUAGGAUGACUGAGGCUGAAAUUCACUGGGCUCUUUAACCUGGUGUAAGAUGGCAUUGAAAGAAACUGGGUUUUUGUUUGUUGGCAGGUGCAGUUUCCUCUGUCAUGAGAAACCAGCAAGAACAGAAAAGGAGUAGCUGGAAAAUGUGAAAAGUACUUUGUUCAAAAUCAAUAUCUAAUUCUGACCAACUUUGGAAUGAGAAAAUUGCUUCUCUUACACUUUUAUCACCCAAUAAAAGCAGACCAUAAGGGCUUUACAAA